UAGUCCACGCCGUAAACGAUGUCUACUAGGUGUUGGGGACUCUGACGUUCUCAAGACCGGAGCAAAAGUGUUAAGUAGACCGCCUGGGGAGUACGGUCGCAAGGCUAAAACUCAAAGGAAUUGACGGGGGCUCACACAAGCGGUGGAGCAUGUGGAUUAAUUCGAAGCAACGCGCAGAACCUUACCUGGGUUUGACAUGUUUGGAUGCCUAUCUGGAAACAGAGUCGGCUGCCCUUCGGGGUGAAACUUACACAGGUGCUGCAUGGCUGUCGUCAGCUCGUGUCGUGAGAUGUCGGGUUAAGUCCUUAAACGAGCGAAACCCCUACCGUUAGUUGCCAGCGCGUCAUGGCGGGGACUCUAACGGGACUGCCGGUGUUAAACCGGAGGAAGGUGGGGAUAACGGUCAAGUCCUCAUGGCCUUUAUGCCCCAGGGGCCUCACACGUGCUACAAUGGGUGACUACAGAGCGACGCGAUACCGCGAGGGU
rnacentral:rRNA from 1 species